rnacentral:rRNA from 1 species
UACGAAGGGGGCUAGCGUUGCUCGGAAUGACUGGGCGUAAAGGGCGCGUAGGCGGAUGGCACAGUCAGAUGUGAAAUUCCCGGGCUUAACCUGGGGGCUGCAUUUGAUACGUGUUGUCUUGAGUUCGGAAGAGGGUCGUGGAAUUCCCAGUGUAGAGGUGAAAUUCGUAGAUAUUGGGAAGAACACCGGUGGCGAAGGCGGCGUCCUGGUCCGACACUGACGCUGAGGCGCGAAAGCGUGGGGAGCAAACAGG